rfam:Populus trichocarpa scaffold_18_contig_22, whole genome shotgun sequence.
UAUGGGCUGAAUACUGAACAGUGUCUGGGCUGCAGGAUAGAUUCUGACUUCUUCGUUGUUGCUAAGAUUUGGACUUCCAAACAACAGAAUUAAGUCUUGCAUUCCUAUGAAUGUUUUAAGCCUAUG